rnacentral:rRNA from 1 species
UACAGGGGGGGCAAGCGUUGUUCGGAAUUACUGGGCGUAAAGGGUUCGUAGGCGGCGCACUAAGCCACACGUGAAAUCCCUCAGCUUAACUGGGGAACUGCGUGUGGGACUGGAGCGCUUGAGGGUAGGAGAGGAAUGCGGAAUUCCAGGUGUAGCGGUGAAAUGCGUAGAUAUCUGGAGGAACACCGGUGGCGAAGGCGGCAUUCUGGACUAUUUCUGACACUGAUGAACGACAGCCAGGGGAGCAAACGGG